GGCAGGACAACAGUAACCAUGGAGGAUGUUCUUGAUUUCUGUAUGGAAGGAGGGGAAAUUCCUGUACCUACCUGAAAAGCAGCAUGGCUUUAAGAUUUUCACUAAGGGGACAGGUGGAGGGGCUGCAUUUCCAAAGGCAGCAGUGAUGCGCACCACGGAUCACAGGGCACGACCCACUCCCAGCUUGGAAUUUCUCAUUUUUACCAGCAUAUCCAGAGCUGCAGCCUUAUUUUCCAAAGGCACUUUAUGGGUGCUCAGGACCUCUUUGUGCUCCCUUUACCAACCACAGGAGCACUGGAAAACACGGAUAAUCCGAGGGAGCAUGUUG